UUCCUACAGCUACUCUGAAGGCUGCAGCCCAAGUCUGCAAAGUUAAAACAGAUUUCAUUCUCCAAAGCCACAAGCAAGAUGCAGAAGGACCACAACACCGACUCUAUAUUUAUCUCUAUAUUUAUGAACCCGAAUCUGAUAUCUGAGGUCAAAUUUUGGGUCAAAGGAUCAUUGCAGUUUUCUGGUGAUCAGUGGCGUCACCUCCAUAAUGACCUGAAAAGAUGAAAGAGGGGAACUUUGGACAUCUGAGUUCAAGAAGCGAGGGCAGGGAAUGC